GGGGGUAUAGCUCAGUAGUGGUAGAGCAUUUGACUACAGAUCUAGAGGUCUCUGGUUCAAAUCCAGGUGCACUCA